AGGACGAACGCUGGCGGCGUGCCUAACACAUGCAAGUCGAACGAGGUCCAACCGGUAGCAAUACUGGUGAAGAUCAAGUGGCGAACGGGUGAGUAGCACGUGAGCAACCUGCCCCGAAGACCGGGACAACACCGGGAAACCGGUGCUAAUACCGGAUACCCCCACCGAGUCGCAUGGCUUGGUGAGGAAAUGGAUUCCGCUUCGGGAGGGGCUCGCGGCCUAUCAGCUAGUUGGUGAGGUAACGGCUCACCAAGGCUUCGACGGGUAGCUGGUCUGAGAGGACGAUCAGCCACACUGGGACUGAGACACGGCCCAGACUCCUACGGGAGGCAGCAGUGGGGAAUCUUGCACAAUGGGCGAAAGCCUGAUGCAGCAACGCCGCGUGAGGGACGAAGGCUUUCUGAGUUGUAAACCUCUUCCAGCAGGGACGAUUGUGACGGUACCUGCAGAAGAACGCCCCGGCAACUACGUGCCAGCAGCCGC
rnacentral:rRNA from 1 species